GUAAUUGAAUAGAAGACAAGUCGGACGCCCAGUCGUCCGAGGGAAGUGGGUUUGAAUCCCACGCGGUCCCGCCGCUGUAUUGAAGGAGUUCCUGUGCAUACCACUGAGUUGAUCUUGGGAAGGGCAUGGUGAAUGAUGAGAGCUAAGCCAGAAUACCACCUUGUUUUCGUGUCAUACA
rnacentral:ncRNA from 2 species